UUUUCUUUGUUUUUUAAGGAACAUUCCAUGUGAAGACCUUGUAAAAGACCAGCACACCACCAAAAUGGGCAUUUACGUCAUCACAAAAGAUGGUGGAGAGCUUGGAGAACAUGAUGACAUCGGCAUAGUUGUUGAUGGAGACAUUAUUCUGGAGGUCAGGAAAGCCAGGCAGGAAAACGAGGAGGCGGACAUAAUCGCAGCUCCAUACAGUGAGUGACAGACCUGAACCAGUUUGGUCGGAGCAGCUGGAGAGAAAGCAAUAUUACUGAUCUCGACUGACACUGAUUGACCUGACAUUGACACAGAAAAACAUGGCAACUAAGAAAGACCUGAGUAGCUUGGGCUACAAAGUUUUGCACACAAUUGGCAAAGGGGCAUUUGGUACAGUUAAACUGGCCAAAUCUGAAAAAUACCCUGACAAGGUUGCGAUUAAAAUAAUGGACUGCAAGCGCAUGUCAUCACAUGAUUAUCAACAAUGCAGGCUCUAUGAACUGUCUAUCCUGAGAAACACCAGGCACCCGCACAUCGUACAUGUGCACGAAAUUUACAUCAGGCCAAGUGGUCAGAUUUUUAUAGUAAUGGAGGCUGCAGCGAUGGAUCUUACUAAAAAGAUCAGAAAGCUCGGCCGGAUCCCCCCUGACCAGGCCAGACUGUGGUUCUCGCAGCUUGUCAGCGCCAUGGUGUAUCUUCACAUUAAGAACAUCGUUCACCGAGACCUGAAAUGUGGCAACGUCCUACUGACCGCUGACGACCAGGUCCGACUGAUCGACUUCGGUUUUGGGUGCUACACAGCAGGCUUUCCAGACGUCCGUGAGACGCUGUGCAGUACUCCUCCGUACAGCGCUCCAGAGUUGCUGAUGGAAAAGUGGUACGACGCCAAAAAGAGCGAUGUGUGGAGCCUGGGCGUCAUUCUUUACAUCAUGGUCACCGGCUCCCUGCGCUUUUAAUUCAACAAAGACCAAAACUCUCCGCCGUCUUCAGCUCAAACCUCUCAAGUUCCCACGGAAAAUCACAGUGGAGGAGCCGUGUCGCGAUCUGAUCACCUCCAUGCUGUGCUACAAUCCCUACCAACGGCCUGAGAUGACGACUGUGGAAAAGCACCCCUGGCUACAACCAAAGAAAGAGCAGCAGGAAACAGAUGAGGAGACUGCAGCUGCAGAAACACCUACAGUUGUAGCCGAAACGUCUCCAGAGGGAGAUGUGCCGGAGGAUGGUUUGGUACAUAAGGUUCUGUCCACAUCCAGGGAUCUUCAGUCUCCUGUAGUAGAUGAUUUGGAGCAAGACAACAAAAUGCAGAGUUUGGAGAAAACCAGCAGGGUUUCCAAUGAGUUUCCUGAGUCAGCUGUCAGUAAAGGGGAGGAGGAUGAACAGAAGGAAGAAGGAGGAGUUAUUGGCAGUCAAGCUGGUGAACAGGCUGCAGCUCAUGGCUGUGGUGCAUUUAUCCGAGGCUUCAGUGCUUUUCAAAGGAAAAUCAAGAAGAUGUUCAGGAGGGAAUCUAGGACUUACUCAAAUUUAAGAUCCUGAAGAAGAAGACCAGCAAGAGCUAAUCUGGCUCCAACAACCGUUUCUUUUUUUUAACCCCAUUUUAGCCUAUUUUCUCCCUGAUUUCCCUAACACAAAUCACUUAAUGCAGCUCAAAGCACUCGGAGGAAAGCCUCUGAUACAUUAGGACCAUCCAGAGCCCAGACUGGGUUUGAUUCUAAUUGGUAAUUCCAGCUCCGUGGGCUGGUGACGCAAGCAGAACCAGUGCUCCCACAGCCCACAGUGAAGCGGAGACCAGCAGGCAAAUGUUUCAAUUAAUGAAUUUUGCCUGAUAUCGAUUUUGCAUGUGACCCUAAAUUUAAAAUGCAGUCAGGGAGAAAGUUCCAAACCAAAUUUUUAUAGUACUUCUUAAAUCUUAGAGCUGCAAUACUUUAAUUUCUGCUAGAUUAAUUAUUAUCCACAGUCCUGUUUAAAAAUGCUACUGUUUAUUUACAGUGUGUAUAUUUCACCCCAUAUAUAAAAUAGCAGCAGCACAGAGAUCAAAAAGUGCUCCU
ensembl:lncRNA